GACGCUUUAUCCCGCCCACUUUACAGUUGAAGAGCAGUUCCUCUUCAAUGAGCCAUGAAGAUCAUAUGACUAGGCUAGUCAGAAGUCAAGAAGACACACAACUCAGCUGAUAUGCACAACUCCACCAGCCAUCACUGUUGUAUCCUCCACUCUGAGCUCUGUGUGUGAGAGAGCAGAGCAGACGGGGCUUCCUGUGCUUGGAGGAGAGACGGUUGGAAAAAUGGCCUCAGAUCACUUGAUGGUUGCUGCCCUGGGUCGACCUUUCAUCCUAGGGAUGCUCUAUGAUGCUCGGAAAGAUGAACUGAUCCAAGGUUUGACUCUGUGGGAUCAUACAACUCUACAAGAGAACACAGUUGAAAGCACUCAGCCCAGCAGUUCAAUAAAGAUUUCUGUAUCAGACUCCAUUGAAUCCAAGUCCUCUCUGCUGGAUAUUAACACUUCUCUGAAGGCCAGUUUCCUGGGUGGACUGAUUGAAGUUGGAGGAUCUGCCAAAUAUCUGAAUGAUACAAAGAAAUUCAGAAAUCAGAGCAGGGUGACGUUUCAGUACAAAGCCACCACCAAGUUUAAACAGUUGUUAAUGAUUGACCUUGAAACCUUUGACACCCAACAUCUCAGCUCUCAUCUCAUCUCAUCUUCAUCCGAUUGCCCGGGAUCGGGUCGCGGGGGUAGCAAGUACAGCAGAGGACCCCAAACUUCUCUUUCCCUGGCCACAUCGGCCAACUCUGACUGGGGGAAACAGAAAGAUCUUAUUAAAAAGGGAUUUGCAACACAUGUAGUCACAGGCAUCCUUUAUGGGUCGAAUGCUCUCUUUGUGUUUGACAGUGAGAAGUUAGAAGCCAGCAGCGUUCAGGACAUUCAGCGUAGCAUGGAAGCUGUGAUAAAGAAAAUCCCUGCAUUUAAUGUUGAGGGGAAAGUUGACAUCAAGCUGACUGAUGAAGAAAAAGCUCUGACCAACAAAUUCUCCUGCAAAUUCUACGGAGACUUCAUUCUUGACAGCAACCCUGGAACAUUUGAACAAGCAGUGAAGACCUAUGCAGAACUUCCAAAGCUACUGGGAGAAGAGGGAGAGAAUGGUGUUCCUCUGAAGGUCUGGCUGAUGCCGUUGCAGAAUUUGGAUUCCAAAGCUGCUGAGGUGAUGAGUGGGAUCAGCAUUGGGCUAGUGAGGAAGGUGGAAGAAGCUCUUGAAGAUUUAAAGGAAAUAGAAAUGAGAUGCAAUGAUUCUCUGGAUGACAGAGUUGUGGUGGAUUUUCCACAGAUUCACAAGCAUCUAACCACUUUCCAAGAAUUGUGUAAUCAGUAUGCAGCUAGCCUCCAGCAGACCAUGGCGAAGGAACUUCUCCUCAUCCGUAAAGGUGAAACAAAUGGGAGCAAAAUACAAAAAGUCUUUGAAGGCAGAGACAUGUCACCAUUCAGUCAUGAGAAACUAAGCAACUGGCUGGAUCAUAAAGAGAGAGAAAUCAACGUCAUCAGGUCCUGUGUAGAAAUAAUGCAGGGAACAAAGAUCAUCCCAAAUCAGUCAGAGCUGGACAGAGAGGUUCUUGCUUCAGGUGUAGAGGAUACUCUAUGCUUUGUUUUCACCUCCCUGCAGAUGGGCAGCUACUUGGAUCUACUUGAGGCAGGAAGUAUCAAUGAAGCCCAGUGGUACUACUCAGAUGAAGUUUUAACCAACAUGAGAGAAAAAGCCAAAGCUUUCCAUGAUAUUGCCAAAGUCUUGACAAAAAACAGCAGAUUCCGCUUCCUGAUUGCAGCCUUUGCCAAUGAGAAAUACAAAGGAGCUUCAAUCUACCAUUACAGGGACGGCAAACUGGUCACUGAGAAUUUCUCAAAGCCUGACAUCACUAAUGUGGAGGCUGUCACAGACAGAAGAGAUUUAAUCUGGUACGCCUGUGAUCUCACUCUGGAUCCAGACACAGCACACAACAGCCUCACUCUGUCCGAUGGAAACAAGAAGGUGACACAUGGAGCAGUACAGUCGUACCCUGACCUCCCACACAGAUUUGAUUAUUAUCCUGAGGUCCUGUGCAGAGAGGGUCUGACUGGGCGCUGUUACUGGGAGGUGGAGUGGAGUACUGGCUAUAGUGAAGAUGUAGCUGUAGGUGUUACCUACAUAAGGCUGGGAAGGAAAGGAAAAGGCGACGACUGCUGGAUUGGAGGGAAUCCAAUGUCCUGGGCUUUAGGCCACAGAUGGUCCCCACCAGAUCCAACUCUCUAUGCAGAUAUUAAUUGUUCCCAACUCAAUUUCCCUGUUCCUGCUACUGGCUGCACUCGACUGGGAGUGUAUCUGGACUGGCCUGCUGGCACUCUGUCUUACUAUAAUGCCUCAUCUGACACACUGAGUCACAUCCAUACCAUCCGCACCAAGUUCUCUGAGCCUGUUUACCCAGCUUUCAAGAUAACUUUAACCAGGAGGAUUCCCGAUAUGCACCCUGUACUGAUUUGGGUGACGGUCUGGAGGACAGUUGGGAUGGAAAUGCCUUAGAGUCCAUUCAAGAAGCCGAAAAUCAAGCCUUGCAGAUCGAGCGAGAGACAGCAAAACCAACAGCGGACCCCGGAUCCUGAAGCCGACGGAUCACCAGACGUGCCGGGCCCCCGAGCUGUCACAACAGAGGCUGAGGUCAAUGCAGUACCUCCACCCCACUACCUGUUAGCAACCCUGAGACCUCAGACUCUUCCAAGCCGGUCUGUGUCACCAGCAUCCCGCACACCUCUCGUGGUUCCCGAGACACCCUAGUGUCUGAGGAAGAUCACUGUGUAAACCUCAAAGCAGUAACGCAGCCAGAAGACUAUUUGAAGUUGAAAAACUGCUGUAGGAGGAGUACAGCCGGGGAGUGGACCAACAACAACCUCUGACAAUCAACACAUGAACACCAUAGUGUUACUCUGUCAAGUCAUGCAGACUUUUAUUUCCUCAGUCGUUGCCGUAUGUGAAAAAAUGUAAAGGCAAGGUAUUAUUUUAAUUGAAAAAAUAAAUAAAAUAAAAAUGAAUGAAGAACUG